rnacentral:lncRNA from 1 species
GAUGUGUGAGAGUACUGGAACCCGUUGGCACUAAUUGGUCUCUUAUAGGUCUCUAUCACUUUACCUGAACAUUAAGGUGAAGACACAGCAAAAAGAUGGCCGUCUAUGAACCAGGAAGCGGGCUCUCACCAGACACUGAAUUUCCAGUGCUUUGAUCUUGGACUUCCCAGCCUCCACAACUGACCCCAUGCCCCUCUUUUCCUGAGACCAACAGGAGAACAUGCCCAGUGGCACAAAACUCGACAUGCUGCAGAGGGAAAAUCUCUAUAUUUCACCAGACAAUCCCAACAAUCUAAGAAGGACUGGAGAGACAACUUUUUUUUACUGGUGCCCUUGAGUUUGCAACAUGCAUUUACAACAAAUUCACAUCUGCUUUCAAAUAACACCAUACUACUUCACAGCUUCCCUAACUGUGGAAAAAAAUAAAUGAUCUCAAUAUGAUGAAACAUAAUGUAUAAACCUGCAACCUGCAAUUGUUCCGGCUACCAUUCAAGUACAAAUAAUCGCUUGGCUGGAAUUUGGAAGAGAGGUCAAGGUGGCCUACCUCAAAUUUGCUUUAAAUUGAGAACAGAAUUAAAAGAU